AGGAAGGGGGAAAAUGAGGUCGGAGCAUCUCUCCAUCAGCCGGGCUGUCCCGCACCCACCGGGGUGAUGCUCAGGACUAUGAAGGCAACAAGAUACAGUCCUUGCCCUGAAGAAGCAUGGUCAGCAUUAAGUCAAGCCAGAAUAAUGAAGAAUAACUGCCUUUGGGCAGCGGCAGAGAUGAAAGUAGAAAGCUCCAGCCAGCAUCUGCUGGACUCCAAGAUGCUGAGCGGUGAUGGUGAUGGCACCUCCUAACGAUCCAACCUGUUUGCACGAAUGAAUCACUGACGUCAAAGGAAGCGUGCGGGAUUUCAGCGAGGGCAGGUGCAAGCUGACUUGUCACAGAGAUUUUUGGCCAACGACCUGCUGGGCUAUCACCGCCAUCUUUUCUUGCUCCAAAGGGAUUUCACGCAUGGUGUCCUCUGUUUAUAGACCUUCUCUAAGGAUCUUCUACAAUGCAGAAAAAGCUGGCAACGAGGUCCCUUCCAGCCCUAAUAUCUUUGAAAUCUAUGAAACUGUGAUACACACAUAUGUACAGAUUGAGCAAAAUGCCCGACUUUGAGCUUGACGCUAUUAUCAAUGCAAAAGACGAGCUGACCUAUAUCAACCCUCCGCAUCUUUAUGCACUCCAGACAAUUGAAGGGAAUGGGACUCCAAGUUUAUUCACCAGUGUGAUGCUGCUGUUUCCACUGUAGCCCAUGUUAGACUUGAACUACUGGUAGGGAUUGCAAUACCCCUCCUUGACCCCUGGUAGGGAUUGCAAGACCCUUCAAGAUAUGCUCCUCAGAGAUGCAUAUCUAGUGUGGGCCUGGGGAGAUCCUUGUCCAAAGGGGCCCUGACCAGGCCGGGCAACUAGACUUUUGGGUGCCAGGCAGACAAACCCAGACUCUUUACUGCCUUUGUUGGGAAGAGCAGCGUAGAAAUUAUAUAAAUAAAGCAAUAAAUAUACACUGAUGCAGAAGGCAACGCCAUAAAUAAUAUAGGAGUAGGAUGGUGGCAACUUAGCCCAUUCCAUGUGUGAGGAAGUACACACCUAAGUAAUUGGUAAAAUGUUAUAAAUGUCUCUUCUGGACUUCUAUAAGUUUAAUGGUGAUGGUGGAGUGAACUGACACAAGGAGCAUUUAACCAGUAUAGGAAUCAUGGCAUAAUAUACCUGCCGAGUGCUUCUAACUUAAUGCAUGUCUAACGCCAGAACUAAAUAGUAAAAUAUCCCAUAAGUGAAACAGGCUACACUGAUAAAAGCACAGAUGUAAAUGCACAUAUACUAGGCUUUACCUGCCUUGCUGUGUUGGUCAAGCAUCCACCUCUUCACACCCCUAACCAUUACAUGUCUGCAAGGCAGACUCAGCUUUUUUCCCCACCUAUCUUUCCUCUCAGCAAGCUGAUGGUAGAGAAGAUCCUGGGUCACAGGUACCCACUGAUAUCCUUCUUGUUCUCACUUGCCUCCAGCAGGCACCAGAGGGAAUUUUUGCAACACAAGGGGCACAUCUACAUGUCACCCUACAAUGACAUAGCAGCAUGUUAUAUCUCCCUAUGGCACACUAGAGCAACGUAGUCAUCAUGCAGGUCUACACGUGAUCAUCACCUGUGUCGCCGUAGCGGCGCACUCUCCCAGUAUAGCGGCAACAUAGCAGCAAAAUCGAACCGUGUGCUGCAUGCAUGGUGCAGUAACCGCCCAUACGUUGCAAAUGGAAGUAUUAAAGCACAGCGCCAUACAGCGACAUGUAGACAUGUCCAGGAUGUAGGCAUGGCAAAGACAUGUCUUGACACACAUUGUUUCUAGGCUCUUAGUAGCUUGUAUGUGUAUCUAUUCAUGCAUUAGUAUACAACUUGCUGUCUGCUAGAUUUUGUUAGUGUAGUUGCACUGAAGCAAAUGUUCCCCUUUUUGUCUUUUUAUUUAGUGUGGAAAUAAAUCAUUUUGUCCACUUUCAA